ACAUUCUCGUACUCUAUUUGGCUAUGGAUGUAACUAGUAUAUUGAUAUUUUUUCUCAGAUUCGGAUGUGUUAAGUGCAGUGAAGGAAACAGGGUGAUGAAAUAGAGUGACUCUGUUAAAUAGGGUGGUUGAAAAAAGGCGACAUGAGAAUUGAGACCAGCAGGAAGAGAGAGAGCUGGGAGAAAAGCUUACAGGCCACCAGUGUGUCACCUUCCUCACUAAUUUGAUGUCUGCAACUUCAUGUUGACAACAGAAGAAAAAUCAGAAAACAAAUGUUCAACACCCAGCAAAGAGCUAUAUCCUUUUCUGCAAACAGUAUGAUAGCCAUUUCUCACUUAUGUCACCUGUUAAGAAUGACGAGAAAUCAGCUACGGGCAAAGACCAGACCAGACGGGGCAGGGCUCGGGGUGGGAAGAUGCCAUGUGCCUGUCUACGUGGUCACUCGCUCUGGCCGACUGACGUCUCUAACUGCUCAAGGGUUUACGUUGCUAGGUUUAAUAAGCCGAGUACGAAUCCUUCCAUAAAGUCCACACUUCCCUGAACUAGAAUGUACAUGUGGAAUCAUUUUGGGCAUGUUAGCUUUGCAAUUUAUGUCCAGACACAGAUUCUUUGAAUUAAAGCUCAUUUCCUGUCCCCCUUCCAUUUGUCCCCACACAAAGGAUGCUCAGAAUAACUGGCAACAUCAAACUCAUCCAGAAGACAGAGAAUCUGACAAAAAAGAGAGCUGGAGUGAAUCACUGGAGGGUAAGCCGUGCUCUGAGGUCAAACACUUGUUGGGUUUUGUUUUGGGAUGGAAGCCAAAUGGUAGCUCUAAUCAGAGAAGUAUCUCUACCAACUCUGGACAUGAGAGCCAUACUUAAAUGGUGUGACACUGUCAUUUCUCCUCAGGGCCAGCCCUGAGGGUGCAUUCUCAUACUCUGGAGGAUGCACAGUUUGACCUGCUCUUCUAGGUGUGACACUGUAAUCCCAAGGUGCCACCACCUUCUCUGCCUUGACCGGUCAGUAGCCUCCUAACUCAUCCUCUCAAAUCUACUCUUCUCCACUUCAGUCCAUUUCCACGGGAGAUGGAAUCACAACCGCCUGGUAAAACAAGGAAUUACUUACCACUGCUGCUAAGGUUCGCACCCCAGCCCUGCAUGGUCUGGCUUCUGCCAGCCUCCUCAGACUCUGCUCCACUUUUUCUCCCAUCACUUUCCAUACUCCUGCCCAGGGGCCUUGACACAGGCUCUCCACCCACCCCUUCACCUGGGGAGCUCUAGCUCGUGGCUGAGAUCUCUGCUUAGAUGGCAUGUCCGUGGAGAAGCCGUCCCAGAACCGCCCGCCCACGGGGUCAGGUUCUUUUGCUAUAUUCUUUCAUGCCUACUGUUCUGUCUUUUCCUUAAUGGCACUUAACAGUUUACACACGUAUGACUCUUUGAUUAAUGUCUGUCUCCCUGAACAGAUCAGAAACUCCACCAGAGCAGAAUUCAUGAGUGUAUCCACCAUGGGGGCCACACGGGAGCAACUGCAGAAGGAAUGAUUUUAAUCUGUUCACACUUUUCUGCCCAGUUGCCUUUACAGUAUGGCAGACAUCUACAAGCCAACUGGUCUGAGCUCCACGCUUCUUGGGUGGAUCAGAAUGAACACACCAAGUCAGAGCACAGAAAAGUUUAGAUCUUUGAAGGGAGGAAAAAGUAAAGAGCAGGAGCUAAGGCCAAGAGAAGCCAUGGAGUCAGCGAGAAACAGCUACCAAGAGGAGGAGACAGCCGGGAUCCACCUCAACUAGUUUUGGAAUGACUUCUCAUGUUGUAUUCCUUGCUGCAAGACAGCCAGCCACCAACCAAGUUCUUGGACAGACCGACUCUUCAGAGACUUAAAAUCUAAGCACAUCCUCAUUGACUCUAAACCUCAGCAGUCACUCAGCACAUGCGAUGGUUCUGUGGUGUGCACAGGGCAGACAAACCACAACACACACGUGCGUCCCUGAAGUUCCUGGGCAGGCCUUUGGCCACAGCAGCAGGCCUGGGGUACUCACAGUCUCAGCGUCCACGAAAAGCGUGGGGCACUCGGAGCAGGAGGUGAGCAUCUGGGAAGAGCUGACAAACUUGGAUCCGAUGCCCCGGAGGUUGUCUCCCAGCUUCGAGUCCGUCAACCCACUGAGCCUCCCAGCCAGGUGAAGACGUUGAGGUUAAGUGCGAUUAAAGGACUCACUCAAGGACACACAACUGCAGCUAAGGAGAGUAAGCAAGUGUUCACAGCUACAGCUGGCAUGCUUAAGGAAUUCAUGGGGAGCGGGAGUUAGAAGACAAGGAAAGGAAGAACACAAAUGAUGGAGAAAAAAGAGCUACAGGAGAGGACGUGGCGCAAAGAGGAGGAGGAUGGGCUUGGCAGAAGAUACCACUCAGUGGUCCCGAAGUCAUGGCUGCCUGCCUGGGACAGGUGACGUCAAUAAAAGGCAGGAUGGCGGCCCAGACCACUGACGGCAGCAUCCCCACAAGGCCAGUCUGGGGAGGCUGAGUAGAAGAAGGUUUAACAGAAGGAAUGAUAAAGCCAGGUGACUGGAAGAGAGUUGGAUAAACCCAGCACUAGCCGACAGCCAGCUGGCUACCUGAGAGCCCUCCGACCCAGGCAAGCGCGUACCUUGAAC